GGCUUCGUAGUCGAGUGGUAAGACCCCUUGCCUUUCAUCCAGGAGUCCCAGGUUCGAUCCCCAGUCGAGGAGCUA